AUUCCAGCUCCAAUGGCGUAUAUUAAAGUUGUUGCAGUUAAAAAGCUCGUAGUUGGAUUUCUGGCAGGAGCGACCGGUCGGCCCAUUGUGGUGUGUACUAGUGUUGCAUCUGGCCAUAUUUGUGGAGAGCGUGUGUGGCAUUAAUUUGUCGUGCUCGGGACCCGCAUCGUUUACUGUGAGAAAAUUAGAGUGUUCAAAGCAGGCUUAUGCCUUGGAUAUGUUAGCAUGGAAUAAUAAGAUAAGACUUUGGCGGUCUAUUUUGUUGGUUUGCACGCCAUUGUAAUGAUUGAUAGGGACAGUUGGGGGUAUUCAUAUUUAAUUGUCAGAGGUGAAAUUCUUGGAUUUAUGAAAGAUGAACUACUGCGAAAGCAUUUACCAAGGAUGUUUUCAUCG
rnacentral:rRNA from 1 species